rnacentral:rRNA from 1 species
UACGAAGGGGUGCAAACGUUGCUCGGAAUCAUUGGGCGUAAAGCGCACGUAGGCGGCCCGAUAAGUCGGAUGUGAAAUCCCUCGGCUCAACCGAGGACGUGCAUUCGAAACUGUCGGGCUCGAGUAUGGAAGAGGGUCGCGGAAUUCCCGGUGUAGAGGUGGAAUUCGUAGAUAUCGGGAGGAACACCAGUGGCGAAGGCGGCGACCUGGGCCAAUACUGACGCUGAGGUGCGAAAGCGUGGGGAGCAAACAGG